AUAUAUAUAUACAUACAUACAUACAUACAUACAUACAUACAUAUCUCCUUCCCUUCUAAACCCCUUUCCCUUUCUGAUUCUUCUUCCAUGUUUCUCCCCUUUCUUGCUUCUUCUUCUUCCUCUUCCUCUUCUUCGUUCUCCACUGAUCUCCCUUUUCCUCAUCCACUUCACUGAUCUCCUUCAUUCUACUUCCAACUUCCCAAUUGCGCUCAACGGACCAGGGUUUCUUUUGUUCUUUCCUGCUCUGCUGCAAUUCGCGUCACUUCCGUUCUUCUUCCAGGCUGCUAUAAAUAAACCUACCCUUUAUGCUUCGUGCACGUACUGUUCCUCCCCUACCCCCUCCCCACUCAAAUGGUGUGGCCUCUGAGACUUGAUUUGUUCUGAAUGACGUGGAAGUAUAAAUUCUGGGGGGUUUUUGUAUUGGUACAGUACCGCAAUUCAGCUUCAAUUUGAGUGACUGGGGUUUGGAGCUGCUACAGUUUACAGUGUAUGAACCGCCCUCUGGAGAAAUGCAACCUCAGCACAGCUCCAGAAUUGAUUUAGGCGACUUGAAAGCUCAGAUAGUUAAGAAACUUGGAAAUGACAAGUCAAAGCGGUACUUCUUCUACUUGAGCAGAUUUCUGGGUCAGAAACUGAGCAAGUUUGAGUUUGAUAAGAUGUGCGUCCGUGUGCUUGGAAGGGAGAAUAUUCAGCUCCACAAUAAAUUGAUAAGGUCAAUUUUGAAGAAUGCAUGUGUAGCCAAGACCCCACCACCAAUAAAUGGGUCAGGACAUGCACAGUCUAUGCUACAAGCUUCAAACAACUCACCUUGCAGGGAAGAUGGCCCUGAACAUAAUGGAUCUACUUUUCCGAAUCAGAAUCAGAAUCAGGCUAUGCCAAUUUGGCCAAAUGGAGUUCUUCCAGUUUCCCCACGGAAAGGGAGAUCUGUCUUACGUGGAAAGUUUAGGGAUAGGCCGAGUCCGCUUGGUCCGAAUGGAAAAAUAACAUGUCUUUCGUAUCAAUCAUCUGGUACUGAAGAUAGCAGCAGCAAAGUUAUUACAGAGAAUGGUAACGUAAACAUGUGUGACUAUCAGAGACCGGUACAGCAUCUUGAAGCAGUAGCUGAGCUACCUGAGAAUGACAUAGACGGAGCAGUUCUGCGGCCAUCAGAAAAACCAAGAAUACAUCCAACAGAAGCAGCUGUUCUUGAAGAUAGAGACGAGGUGGAACAGUCAGAUCCCUUAAGCAUCCUCAGAGGUCCUCUACUUCCACCUCUUGGUUUUCCCUUUUGCUCAGCUAGUGUAGGUGGGGCACGCAAGGCCUUGCCAGUUGGUAGUAGUGGCAGUGGCCGUGAUUUUCUGAGUUGUUACGACAGUAUUGGAUUGUCUGAUUCAGAGACGGUGAGAAAACGAAUGGAGCAAAUCGCAACUGCUCAAGGGCUUGAAGGUGUUUCUAUAGAAUGUCCCAACAUCUUGAAUAACACUCUGGAUGUGUACCUGAAGCAAUUGAUCAAGUCUUGCCUUGAGUUGGUGAGAUCAAGGUCUACAAUUGAACAUACAGGGCACCCUAUCCAGAAGCAACAGAAUCAAGGGAAGGUUAUAAAUGGUAUGCGGCCCAGCAACCACCAACACGUACAGAAUAGCAACGGGCGGUCUGAAGUUUUGCAGGAAAAGAGUUUAGAAUGCUCAGCGUCAUUGCUCGAUUUCAAAGUUGCUAUGGAGAUCAAUCCAAAGCAGCUUGGGGAAGAUUGGCCUUUGAUGUUGGAGAAAAUUUCUAUGCGUGCCUUUGAGAAAUAAGCAGUUGCAAAGGCUUUAUUUAUCCUCAGCCAUCCUUUUGGCUGGUCUUGUUCAGGUCCAAAGGACUUUAAAUUUUACCUGGGAUGUCUUCCUGUUCAGCCCUUCUUGCUGGGGUAUACUUGAUCACACUCCCAUUGGGUUCAGGCUCCAAGAUUCCAUGCUAAAAAUAUUGUAACAACCCGGGGAACCUCCGACCGCACAUGAGUCCCUUGCCCAUUGCCUGCUCCAUUUAGGAAGUUGAAUUAACUCGACUAGAAAAGGGGAAGCUUUCAGCCAGAAUGCCCAUAAAAAAGGUUGUUCUGUUGCAUUUUUAGCAUUCAUGUUAGCCCCAUUUGCCACUACCUUGUAACUUAGCCUUUUCAUGUAACUUAUUUUUGAGAGAAUCAGAAAAGUUUUGCAGGGAUACUGUCAAUUAGUUUGGUGAAAGAUGGAACACCUGGGUGAGAGCUUCAGAUAAAUGUGAAUGUAUAUGUGGGAGAAGUUCAAGUCUCAGGAGCAGCACAGCCUGAUUUCGAGGUCUCUGCAACUGGAUAUCCCGCUUGCUACCGAACAAAUCAACGUUCUACAAAUGCCACGAUGAAUUGGAUGGGGACAAUUCUCAUUAAAAGGUAACGUCAUGAUUGAACUUUGUAGUAGACAAAAGUACGGGACCAUUUUAACUCGAAAAGCACCUGUUCUUCCGAGAAAUAGAAAUUAGCUCCACCUGAUUUUGUGGUUUUCUGUUGUUUUAUCGCAAGUGCUUUGGCUGAUCAUAAUUGAUUAGUGUUCUUCUGAGAGGUUGCCUCACAAUUUUCUUAUGAUAUUGCUUGUGCUUGUUGUCAGUAAUGUAUAUUCUUCAAUUUUAGCUGAACGUGUGUUCAUAUUAUUUUGAAGUAACUAUUGCCGAGUACUAUAAACUUCUUGAGUCUGUGUCAUUGGAAAAAAGAACUUCAGAGUUUGUAAUGCACAAGGGAAGGAAUCAUUGAAGCAAUCACGGUGACGUGGCGAAGUUCAUAUCUCAUCGACACGGCGCAGAGAACUGCAGUCUUUGUUCCUUGCUGUACAUACCUACAGUGGCAUGCUUAUUUUAAAGGAUGAUCAUGUUGCUCUAUGCAGCAAAUUCUGGUUUCAUUUCACUCACUCAGCUAUGUCUAUGCUUUCUGCAUCAUGUAAGUCAAUUUUGAUGUUAAUUUGUCUUGCUUUGUUUGUGGGAUGAAGGAAGCAUUUUGAUAGCUCAAAGGAAGGAAAAGAAGUUACUGUAAGCAAAUCUAAUGGUUUGAUUGACUCGUAUCGACGUAGACUUUGAUGCUUUAAUGAGAUAUUCAAAUGAUGGAGAAGUCGCUCUUUUUAAGAUUGUCUCAAACGAUCGUCUGAAAGUGACAAAAGAAACAGCUUAUUCUUUCUUCGAUAAUUUCUGAUCUUUAGUGAACCUCUCAAUAGGAUUUGAACUCGAAGUUCUGACCAUCUAUAAGAGAAAAAAGAACGAAUAGAUCUAGUAGGAUUUUUGAGAAAUUUUUUGAGUUCUUUCGGAAGUGGAUGAUUAUUGAACUGCUUCUCACAUUUUGUAAAUAGCCGGAACAUUGAGGUGUAGGGAUUUAUACUUUGACUAGUCAAAGCUAUAUUGAAGCCCCCAUAUUCUUGUUCAUCGUUUUAUUCGUUUUUCAAAUUGUGGCUAAGCCAAUUGGGGAGAGUAAAAUGGAUUGGAUUGAAUUGACAGGAGCCUUGGUAAUGAACUUGUUCGGAUGGCUUCACUCUUGUCUAUGAAGACCUUACAUGCAGUCUCUUAUACUCCCAUAAAGGGAAGUGUUGAACUCAGCGCAGUCUUAAGCUAAUGUCUAAUCGUUGAUUCCCAUAUGUGCUCUUCUUUGCUAUGAUUUUCUAACCCUGAAGUUUGUCCCUUUAUUGUAUUCAAAUUG